rfam:Roseivirga spongicola strain TST030701-084 contig_4, whole genome shotgun sequence.
UAAAUGGCUCUUUUUGGAGCCAUUUUUAUUUGUCUUUAAAACUUAG